GACGAACGCUGGCGGCGUGCUUAACACAUGCAAGUCGAACGGAAAGGCCCUGCUUGCAGGGUACUCGAGUGGCGAACGGGUGAGUAACACGUGGGUGAUCUGCCCUGCACUUCGGGAUAAGCCUGGGAAACUGGGUCUAAUACCGGAUAGGAGCCAUUUUUAGUGUGAUGGUUGGAAAGUUUUUUCGGUGUAGGAUGAGCUCGCGGCCUAUCAGCUUGUUGGUGGGGUAAUGGCCUACCAAGGCGGCGACGGGUAGCCGGCCUGAGAGGGUGGACGGCCACAGGGGGACUGAGAUACGGCCCGGACCCCUGCGGGGGGCGGGGGUGGGGAAUAUUGCACAAUGCGCGCAAGCCUGAUGCAGCGACGCCGCGUGGGGGAGGUCGGCCUUCGGGUGGUAACCUCCUUUCGCUAGGGACGAAGCUUUUUGUGACGGUCCCUAGAUAAGAAGCACCGGCUAACUACG
rnacentral:rRNA from 1 species